rnacentral:rRNA from 1 species
GUUUGAUCCUGGCUCAGGACAAACGCUGGCGGAAUGUAUUAGGCAUGCAAGUCGCACGAACCUUCGGGUUAGUGGCGGACGGGUGAGUAACACGUGGGUAACCUGCCUCGUAGUGGGGAAUAACUCGCCGAAAGGCGAGCUAAUACCGCAUAUAACUCCUUGUGAGAAUCCGGGAAGUAAAAGCUCCGGCGCUACGAGAGGGGCCCGCGGCCGAUUAGCUUGUUGGUGGGGUAAUGGCCUACCAAGGCGACGAUCGGUAGCUGGUCUGAGAGGAUGGUCAGCCACACGGGGACUGAGAUACGGCCCCGACUCCUACGGGAGGCAGCAGCUAAGAAUCUUGCGCAAUGGGCGAAAGCCUGACGCAGCAAUUCCGCGUGGAGGACGAAGGCCCUCGGGUCGUAAACUCCUUUUGCGAGGGAAGAAGUUCUGACGGUACCUCGCGAAUAAGCCACGGCUAACUACGUGCCAGCAGCCGCGGUAAUACGUAGGUGGCGAGCGUUGUCCGGAGUUUAUUGGGCGUAAGAGCCGCAGGCGGC